AUGAGCUUGAUGCUAUUUUCCAAUAAAUAUCAAGGGUCUUAUUCUGGUGACAUGUUAAAAUAUUCUCGCUCUUACCAUAAUAAUCUCAUCCCGUAAACUAGCCUGACCGCACUGUAUCCGCGAUCUUAACGCAACAGUUUCAGUUGUUGUUGUAACAAAACAAAUCAGUAGAGAAAAUAAGACGGAAACACAUUGAACUGUAGACUUUAUUUAUUCAGUACAUGAAAACUUAAGCUAAAAAGUACAUCGUGUGCACUACGUCAUCACGCACUAAUUCAUUUUAUUUUUUUAUCCACAAGUCAAUUUGGCGGAAACCCGCCCUGGUGGGGAAAAUGGGUAUAUUUCUUUCAUGCGGAUUUUUAGAAUAUUCGCAUUGAAAAAAUCUGUCGCCAUAGUUUAUGACGUCUAUGAUUGUACUCAAGCAGAGUGGAACAUGUCUGUCUCUUAUGUACAACUGGCUCUAUCUACCACGGAAUUAACUUUUCACCGUUUUUUCCUCUUCUUUAAGCCCAGAUCUAAAAUUGAAAAAUAGAAAUAGAAAAUUACUGAAAUGUUUUUUUUUUAAAUGGACAAUUAUAUAAAUUAUGGACCAAAAGUAAUAAAUGAUGCUGUUCUAAUGAAAUAGAAUGGAGAGGGAACGGGCAUUAGUGAAAGACAAGAAAAUGAAGAAGAAGAAGAAACUAGGAUAAGACAGACAGUAGCAGGUGUUACAGGUUCUAGGUUGGUUAGCAUGUUAGCUUUAGCACACUGAUUGGAGUCACCUCGUUAGUCAGGAUGAGUUUCACCUGUGCUGGAACCAGCUGGUCGUUAGGACCCGCUGGCCCAGUGCAUCAGCUAGAGAGGAUAUGUUGGUAAAGCUACACCCUCACAUUAGCGCUUCCACUUUAGUUAGCCAAAAAUAGUUUUGUUUUUUCCCCUUGUUUGUUUGGCUCCAUAUUCAUUUUACUCCCUAUCCUAAAUUGGAGUGGGUUGCUUUCCUUUAGUUUUACCUCUGAGGUAAAUGUUGUGCGUAUUCAUUGUGUGUGUCUCUUAUAAACCUCUUAUUAGUUGCUUGCCAACUUUUGGUGGGUGUCUUUCAGAACCCCUUUUGAAAUCUAUUUCUGUUUUAGAUGUGAAAGUGACUUUCUGUGAAUGUGCAACAUUUUGUGUGUGGUCCUUUUGGGAAUAUAACCCAGGUGAUAACCCCUAUCCCUCACCCUGAGAGUGUGGUCCUUUUGGGAAUAUAACCCAGGUGAUAACCCCUAUCCCUCACCCUGAGAGUGUGGUCCUUUUGGGAAUAUAACCCAGGUGAUAACCCCUAUCCCUCACCCUGAGAGUGUGGUCCUUUUGGGAAUAUAACCCAGGUGAUAACCCCUAUCCCUCACCCUGAGAGUGUGGUCCUUUUGGGAAGGUAACCCAGGUGAUAACCCCUAUCCCUCACCCUGAGAGUGUGGUCC
ensembl:lncRNA